UUUUUUUUUUUUUUACAGUGGUGGCCGGGUCAGUUUACAUGCACCACAACAUCGGGUAUCUUCUACCUCCCUACCUCCUAUCAGCAUAGGUACCACAGGUACCAAAUAACUCUUUCCAUCAAGGCUUAAAUAGAUGGAAGCAAAUCACCUAGUAUUUUAUUUUUUUGCAUCGUCAAGAUCUGAACAUGAGACCUCAUGGUUCUAAUCUUUCUUCAUUGACCACCAGGACACACCCUAGGGUGCCCUUUAUUUCUAUUUUAUCUUGAAAUUAUACCCAUUGCCAGAUGUGCCAUCACUACUGUUGUGUCUACUUACUGAAAUUCAUUGAAAAGCAAGAAGCAUAAACAGCAGAAUAUUCAAGGAACCCAUGAAUAUUUUCUGUUUGGAUACCAUGAUUUCUUAAUACAGUUCAAAUGGAAAGCAGAAUAAUUGAAGAGUAAGCAAGAGACGGUCAUACACUUGGAGAAAACUAAUAAAUCAUGAUCCUUGACUCUUAAAAUGAUCCAUGAUCACAAAAUCAAUGGAGCAAAUUACAAGAUGAUCCUCCUUACAUUUCACCAACAC
rnacentral:lncRNA from 1 species